AUUGAACGCAGGCGGCAUGCCUUACACAUGCAAGUCGAACGGCAGCACGGGAGCAAUCCUGGUGGCGAGUGGCGAACGGGUGAGUAAUAUAUCGGAACGUGCCCAGUAAUGGGGGAUAGCCCGGCGAAAGCCGGAUUAAUACCGCAUACGACCUACGGGUGAAAGCAGGGGAUCGCAAGACCUUGCGUUAUUGGAGCGGCCGAUAUCAGAUUAGCUUGUUGGUGGGGUAAAAGCCUACCAAGGCAACGAUCUGUAGCUGAUCUGAGAGGACGACCAGCCACACUGGGACUGAGACACGGCCCAGACUCCUACGGGAGGCAGCAGUGGGGAAUUUUGGACAAUGGGCGCAAGCCUGAUCCAGCCAUGCCGCGUGCGGGAAGAAGGCCUUCGGGUUGUAAACCGCUUUUGUCAGGGAAGAAACGGCUCUUGCUAAUAUCGAGAGCUAAUGACGGUACCUGAAGAAUAAGCACCGGCUAACUACGUGCCAGCCGCCGCCGUAAGAC
rnacentral:rRNA from 1 species